AGUAAGAACAAUAAUUACCGUUCGUUUAUCGAAUAGUAUACGUUAAUCGUUCGUCUAUCGAGUAAUAAUAAUUAUCAUUUGUCUAUCGAGCAUAUUAAUUAAUUACCGUUCGUCAACCGAAUAAUUACUAUUGUCUAUCGAAGAGUUAAUUACUAUUUUGACUAUCGAAGAGUUAGUUAUCAUUUUGUCAAUCGAAGAAUUUUAUAUCCGUCAGUCUGUCAGUCAAUUGUCAACAUCGAAAUCAAAUAUCAUAAUAUUGUCAUCCGAAAAAGUGCUUCUGGACUGUUGAGGUUAUCUGAUAGAGGAACGCGUGGAUACAUUUAUAAUAGAAAUAUAUAUACAAGUAAGCAUAAGUAUAGGUAUAGUAUAUGCCGAUCCAGAUCAUCACUUUAGCAGUGUCACAUUACAAUAGAAUAUAAUAGGGAGCAGGUUGAUACAUUGACAGCAAACAACAUUACCAAAAAAUUAACCUUGACCUUGUGACCCAAAAACAACAUUCAUAUUCAAGGACGCAAUAAUAUGGACCUCUCCUUUUCGUUAACUUUUUUGCUUCACCAAGUUCUAUUUUCAUCGUAACAGCGGUGUCCAGGUCGCGGGUAUACAAACAAAGAAGAUGUAGAGUUUUUCUAGA